ensembl:lncRNA
CUGGGAGCUAUGCAAGACAAAUCAGACUCCUGAAAGGGGCACAGCAGCUUGGAAAAGUUGGGAGCCCCUGACCUGGAGUCUCUGGCUCAGGAGCCGGUGUGAGUAGAGCCCAGGACUGCCCCAGGGGCUGGUUGCAGCCACUAGACAAAGUCCUGGCUGGACACAGCAGGGGAUUUAAGGAAGGUCUCCCCCACCCCACACAGACCCCGCUGGGGGAGCAGCAGCUGAUCAGUGCAGGCUUCCAGUUCACAGUGGAGACAGCAGCAGCGUCUUCUCACACUGACCACCCAAAUGCAGGAGCCUCUGUAGCAAUAAUAAUUAUGAUGUAUUGCAGUGCGGUCCUGCCUCCCCCAUGCCAGCACCGGAUACAAGAACCGCUCUAUGCAACCCCUUCCUGUGUCCAUGAAUAUCAACCCAGGCAGCCUGCAGCCCUCCCUGGGACCGGCUGUAACUUGAGCUUAGAAUGGCCGUCUGCAGAGAAAGGGGUGGGGAGGGAAUUGGGGGUGUGAAAUGGACUAAAGUUUGUCUCUCUCACCAGCAGAAACCUGGAGCAGAGCUCUGUGUGGCUCCAAAGCGUAUAUCUGACACCAAAAGAGGUUGGUCUGGAAAAGGAUAUUACCUCGCCCACUUUGUCUCUCUCCAAACUCCAGUAUAAGCCCCUUCUGAAAUUACCCUUCUUGCCCUGCCAGGAUGCUCAUGCGCAUUUUGCUCCUCAGGGAGCCAUUCUCUGGGGGUGAAAUGGGAAAUUGGCUGCUUUGUUGUUACUAAGCUGGCCGGGGGGAUCUGAACAUGCUCAGUAACAUCUGCUGAGCCUCUGCCCUCACUCAGUCCUUGCUCACAAUCAGAAUCUGCUAUAGGGCUGGUCUACACUACGGGGGAAAAUCGAUCUUAGAUACGCAACUUCAGCUAAGUGAAUAACAUAGCCGAAGUGGAAUAUCUAAGAACGGAUUACUCACCCGUCCUCACCGUGCGGGAUCAAUGUCCCCAGCUCCCCCUGUCGAUUCCGCAACUCCGUUGGGGUUGGUGGAGUUCCGGAAUUGAUAUAAGCACGCUCAGGGAGCGAUAUAUCGCGUCUAGAUGAGACUUGAUAUUUCGAUCCCCGAGCAAUCGAUUUUAACCCCCCAAUACGGCAGGUAGUCUAGACAUAGCCAUACACAAGUUUUAAAAAAGGGGAGGGGGGACAAAUUGGUGGGGAGAGAUGGGCAGAUUUUGUUUUUGCAGGGCUCAGAAUGUAUCCAGAGGUGGGUCUAACUGGUGGAGGGAGGGGAAGGUGAGGGGCAGAUAGAAUCAGGGUUCAGAAAGUGGGGAAUGCACUGCCAGACAGGGGAAGAGGGGAUUAAAAAAAAGUUACCAUAGUUGAAAUGAGCCAUCUGCAGUGCUUAUCAAACUAGGGUGUGGGUAGCAGAGGGGCUUGUGCCCCUCACUGGAGUCCAUCUCAGCACCCUUUUCCCAGGCCUAUGGUGUUAAAGGCGCAGUGUGGCCCAAUGCCCAGAUACAGCAGCCCGUCUCUAUUUGAAAUGAUUCACUGAGCUGCCAAAAGAAAUUAGAUUCAGUUGCCACCAUCUUAAGGCUUGUCUACGCUGGAAAAUGUUACCAGUUACACAGAUGCAGUUUUACCAGUAAAUUUCCCAUAUGGACACUCUUGUUAUUUCAAUCCAAGAGUGACUUUUUUUCAGUUUGCCUUAAACCAUUUACCAAAUGAUAGAAGCUAACCACAAAAAAUUGUAAAAAACCACUCUUAUACCAGAAU